UACGUAGGUGGCAAGCGUUGUCCGGAUUUACUGGGCGUAAAGCGCGCGCAGGCGGGCUGGUCAGUCUGGGGUGAAAUCUCACGGCUCAACCGUGAGAGGUCCCUGGAUACUGCUAGCCUUGAGGGGCUCAGAGGAGAGUGGAAUUCCCAGUGUAGCGGUGAAAUGCGUAGAUAUUGGGAGGAACACCAGUGGCGAAGGCGGCUCACUGGACCGGUACUGACGCUGAGACGCGAAAGCCAGGGGAGCAAACGGG
rnacentral:rRNA from 1 species